rnacentral:rRNA from 1 species
GACAGAGGGGGCAAGCGUUGCUCGGAAUUACUGGGCGUAAAGGGCUCGUAGGCGGCCAACUAAGUCAGACGUGAAAUCCCCAGGCUCAACCUGGGAACUGCGUCUGAUACUGGAUGGCUUGAAUCCGGGAGAGGGAUGCAGAAUUCCAGGUGUAGCGGUGAAAUGCGUAGAUAUCUGGAGGAAUACCGGUGGCGAAGGCGGCAUCCUGGACCGGCAUUGACGCUGAGGAGCGAAAGCUAGGGGAGCAAACGGG